CAGGUUCCACUUCUUGGUGGAGCGAUGUGUGCGUGCACCUGGCAUUUCUUCUACAUCUCAGUGUCUCUCGAGGACUCAACCGUACCAUACGCCGGGGGUCGUCGUGCUACUAAUCGCCAGGCCACCAGCGCCGGUGCCGACCCCGACCAGAGAUCCACCGCCGCCCAGGACCCCAAGCUGGUGGACGACUUCGAAGACACCGAAGCCGACACCAAAUUUUAACUACCACCUCCAAAUCAAAUCAUUGGUCUUCAUUCAUGGCUGUCUAGUACUGCUAGUUAAUCCUGGGGCUUAAUUAUCAUUCGUCCACAUUUCAUAUUAUUCUUGGAGUACCAUACUGUAGCCUAAAAUUAUCAGGAAAGUUGUAGUCCCUUCUGCAACAAGUUUAUAAAUCCAAUAUCUUAUUACAAAUCCAUUCAGCCAGUUAGAUCUUAAGCCUUUGCAAGCUUGGAUGAUAUGAUCUAUUAUGUGAGCAUUUUACUGAAUCCUUCUGUUACUUCCAUUUGUGUUUUAUGAUAAACUGAUGUGUAACAUUUUGCAUAGAAGCAAUUAUAUUUCUCUGUAUUCAAUAGUGAAUUAUAUAACUAUGAUUUAUGCACUUCACAUGUAUUUUCCCCAUCACUCACCAAACGUAACAUGCUAGUUGUAUGUGCUUCAGCCAUUCUUGCACUUGAUUUCAAAUCAGAGUGUGGUUUCUUUCUCUACGAUUUUUCGGAGUGUGCGCUAUUCGAUCUGACGCGGCUCCACGACGCAGGGUGAUCGAGGCGAGGGGAGAGGCCUGGGCGAGUGGACCGGCCCCAUCGGUCAGGGUGGCGACCAAGGAGCUGAGGAUGUUGAGGAGGGCGGUGAACUCCGACGGUCAUGGAACGGCGGCUGGACAUGUGUAGGUGCCUCGUCAACCCGUGAACUCUCACAGGGUGACACUGCUCUGGUCACUUAUGUGGCUUAUCGGAUGCCUGCUAUCAUGAGAUAUCUCCUGGGUCGUGGUGCUGAUCCAACUUGGACGGUGGAACAAAGAAACAAUGAGUUUCUGUGACACAACUUUGAGGAUUGGAUUAUAACGUGAAUUGGUUUCUGAUACUAUGUCGCUCAAGUGUUAAUUCUAGUCUUGUUUGCUCACAAAUCGAUGACUUUUGCUAUUAUUAUAGUAGGCGCAAUCAGCAUGACUUCUUAUGUGUUUUUUUUGCUAUUAUUAU